UACGAAGGGUGCAAGCGUUACUCGGAAUUACUGGGCGUAAAGCGUGCGUAGGUGGUGAGUUAAGUCUGUCGUGAAAGCCCCGGGCUCAACCUGGGAAUGGCGAUGGAUACUGGCUCGCUAGAGUGCGGUAGAGGAGAGUGGAAUUCCUGGUGUAGCGGUGAAAUGCGCAGAUAUCAGGAGGAACACCGGUGGCGAAGGCGGGUCUCUGGGCCGAUACUGACGCUGAGGAGCGAAAGCGUGGGGAGCGAACAGG
rnacentral:rRNA from 1 species